AACGCGAAGAACCUUACCCAGACUUGACAUCCACGGAAUCCUUCAGAGAUGAGGGAGUGCCCGCAAGGGAGCCGUGAGACAGGUGCUGCAUGGCUGUCGUCAGCUCGUGUCGUGAGAUGUUGGGUUAAGUCCCGCAACGAGCGCAACCCUCGCCUUUAGUUGCCAUCAUUCAGUUGGGCACUCUAGAGGGACUGCCGGUGUCAAGCCGGAGGAAGGUGGGGAUGACGUCAAGUCCUCAUGGCCUUUAUGUCUGGGGCUACACACGUGCUACAAUGGCCGGUACAGAGGGAUGCAAAGCCGCGAGGUGGAGCUAAUCCCAGAAAACCGGUCCCAGUUCGGAUCGAAGUCUGCAACUCGACUUCGUGAAGUCGGAAUCGCUAGUAAUCGCGGAUCAGAACGCCGCGGUGAAUACGUUCCCGGGCCUUGUACACACCGCAUAC
rnacentral:rRNA from 1 species